UACGUAGGGUGCAAGCGUUGUCCGGAAUUAUUGGGCGUAAAGAGCUCGUAGGCGGUCUGUCGCGUCGGACGUGAAAAUCCAGGGCUCAACCCUGGACCUGCGUUCGAUACGGGCAGACUAGAGUUCGGUAGGGGAGACUGGAAUUCCUGGUGUAGCGGUGAAAUGCGCAGAUAUCAGGAGGAACACCGGUGGCGAAGGCGGGUCUCUGGGACGGUACUGACGCUGAGACGCGAAAGCGUGGGGAGCGAACAGG
rnacentral:rRNA from 1 species